rnacentral:rRNA from 1 species
AUUGAACGCUGGCGGCAGGCCUAAUACAUGCAAGUCGAACGAGUGGCGGACGGGUGAGUAAUGUCUGGGAAACUGCCUGAUGGAGGGGGAUAACUACUGGAAAAGGUAGCUAAUACCGCAUACCAUCAGAUGUGCCCAGAUGGGAUUAGCUUGUUGGUGGGGUAACGGCUCACCAAGGCGACGAUCCCUAGCUGGUCUGCGAGGCUGACCGGCCACACUGGGACUGAGACACGGUCCAGACUCCUACGGGAGGCAGCAGUGGGGAAUAUUACACAAUGGGCGCAAGCCUGAUGCAGCCAUGCCGCGUGUGUGAAGAAGGCCUUCGGGUUGUAAAGUACUUUCAGCGGGGAGGCGUUACCCGCAGAAGAAGCAACGGCUAACUCCGUGCCAGCAGCCGCGGUAAUUC